CGGAGGGUGAGUAAUGUCUGGGAAACUGCCUGAUGGAGGGGGAUAACUACUGGAAACGGUAGCUAAUACCGCAUAACGUCGCAAGACCAAAGAGGGGGACCUUCGGGCCUCUUGCCAUCGGAUGUGCCCAGAUGGGAUUAGCUAGUAGGUGGGGUAACGGCUCACCUAGGCGACGAUCCCUAGCUGGUCUGAGAGGAUGACCAGCCACACUGGAACUGAGACACGGUCCAG
rnacentral:rRNA from 1 species